rnacentral:tRNA from 1 species
AGAAUAGUAUUUAAAAUAUAUAAAACCUAAUUUGCAUUUAGGUAUUGCCCUAGCCUAUUCUA